rnacentral:rRNA from 1 species
UACGUAGGGCGCAAGCGUUGUCCGGAAUUAUUGGGCGUAAAGAGCUCGUAGGCGGUUUGUCGCGUCUGUCGUGAAAGCUUGGGGCUUAACCCCAAGUCUGCGGUGGAUACGGGCAGACUAGAGGCAGGUAGGGGAGAACGGAAUUCCCGGUGUAGCGGUGAAAUGCGCAGAUAUCGGGAGGAACACCUGUGGCUAAGGCGGCUCUCUAGUACGGUACUGACGCUGAGACGCGAAAGCGUGGGGAGCGAACAGG